rnacentral:rRNA from 1 species
CCUACGGGAGGCAGCAGUGGGGAAUAUUGCACAAUGGGGGAAACCCUGAUGCAGCGACGCCGCGUGAGUGAAGAAGUAAUUCGUUAUGUAAAGCUCUAUCAGCAGGGAAGAAAAUGACGGUACCUGAGUAAGAAGCCCCGGCUAACUACGUGCCAGCAGCCGCGGUAAUACGUAGGGGGCAAGCGUUAUCCGGAUUUACUGGGUGUAACGGGAGCGUAGACGGCAGUGCAAGUCUGGAGUGAAAGGCGGGGGCUCAACCCCCGGACUGCUCUGGAAACUGUACGGCUGGAGUGCAGGAGAGGUAAGUGGAAUUCCUAGGGUAGCGGUGAAAUGCGUAGAUAUUAGGAGGAACACCAGUGGCGAAGGCGGCUUACUGGACUGUAACUGACGUUGAGGCUCGAAAGCGUGGGGAGCAAACAGGAUUAGAUACCCGAGUAGUC